rnacentral:rRNA from 1 species
UACGUAGGGGGCAAGCGUUGUCCGGAAUCAUUGGGCGUAAAGCGCGCGUAGGCGGCCCGAUAAGUCCGCUGUAAAAGUCCAGGGCUCAACCCUGGAAAGCCGGUGGAUACUGUCGGGCUAGAGUCCGGAAGAGGCGAGUGGAAUUCCUGGUGUAGCGGUGGAAUGCGCAGAUAUCAGGAGGAACACCGAUGGCGAAGGCAGGUCUCUGGGCCACUACUGACGCUGAGAAGCGAAAGCAUGGGGAGCGAACAGG